rnacentral:piRNA from 1 species
GACAAUGUUGCCACUGGGAUCUGUAUUCCCU